UCAUCAAGAGAGAUUGAUCGCUAAGCUAGAAGAAGCAAGAAGCUAAACUUUGCCACAACAAAAAGAAUUGUUUUAACAAAUAAAUACAUAACAAGUGUUUUACAAGUGCCUUAACCACCAGUGCCUUGUUAGCAACACCUUAACCCUCUAUAAGACGCACCCACAAAGCCAACUAUCCUGCCGACAUCCUUAUCAAGGUAUAGGAGGGAAAAAGUACAAAAUUCAAUAAAUUAAUUUUGAUGCAAACCUGCUUUGUAUGUGUUACCUAUAACAAGAAACUUUAUUUGGCAACUCUAAACUUUCUCGAUCUGGCAAAUCUAUAAUCUUUUGUGAAUGGCAACAAGCGUUGUCGGUGAGUACAUGCAAAUGGAAAGAAAAACGGAAGAAAAAGAAAAGAACGAAAAUACUGCAAAUAUCGAAACCAAUAUAAAAGUGAUGAAGAUUCUUUAUCUGCAUCUUUAUCUCAAUGUAAAAAGUCAAACAAUGCAGAUCAAAUGGCCGCUCAGUACAUCUGAAUUUUAAUGGCUAUAUUCCUUGAUAUGUAGUAAACUAAAUGUAGCUGAAGCCAUUUAUAUGUGUUUUAAAAUGUAGUGAAAAAUUAGGCAAAAUAGAGGAAAAUGGGAACCGGUAUAUAACGCAAAAACCGGAAACCUAAAUAAAUAAAUUUUUUUUUUAUUGUUGGCAAGUUUCGUUGGUGAAUUUAAAAAUAAGUCUGUCCAAAUUGUGGACCAAGUGCCUUUGUGCCGAGUUGACCAGCAAACCGCCAACAAUUAAUUUAUUCUGGUUAGUCUGGUGGCGAAAUCCUCCCGAACACCCACUUUAUCACACCAUUAAAAAGGGUAAAGGAUAAGAGAAUAACAUUGAAAAGAGGUAACCCACUAUAAUAACGUCGAUCGUUGCUAAGAUCUGAGAGAGAAAUUCCGUGGCGGUUAUACCAACCCUCAGAAUACUGAGAACUGUAACGUUUCUAAAAAAUUAAUUUGUGUGUGUGAAUGUGUUGUCUGUGUGUUUGUUCUAGUUAUAAGUAUUUGAUUUCUAAUUUUUAGAAUUUUUUAAUGCCGGACACCUGGUUUUUUUAAGUGUAACUUAUUUUUCCUGAAGAACGCUAGAAAAGACUUUGACGUAGUAAAUAAUAUCAGACUAAAAUCUUUCUUAAGUGAGCUAUCUUAGGGUAAGAAUUUCGUAAAGAAGAAACUGUUCGACUAAAUACGUUUUAGGUUCCCUUUAUUGCUUCGACGGGAAUACCUAAUAUUGAUGACAUUAGCCUUUUUUGAUUGCCUUAGGUAUGGUGUUAGAAAGUCCAUGUAUGGAUAAUAGCCUACAAAGGUAAGAUACAAAAUUAGAAUUAAGAUAUCUA